rnacentral:rRNA from 1 species
AAGGAAUAUUGGUCAAUGGACGCAAGUCUGAACCAGCCAUGCCGCGUGAAGGAUGAAGGUCCUCUGGAUUGUAAACUUCUUUUAUCUGGGACGAAAACGGGAUUUUUAUCUCAAUUGACGGUACCAGAGGAAUAAGCACCGGCUAACCCCGUGCCAGCAGCCGCGGUAAUACGGAGGGUGCGAGCGUUAUCCGGAUUUACUGGGUUUAAAGGGUGCGUAGGUGGGCUUAUAAGUCAGUGGUGAAAUCUCCGAGCUUAACUUGGAAACUGCCGUUGGUACUAUAGGUCUUGAAUUAUCUGGAGGUAAGCGGAAUAUGUCAUGUAGCGGUGAAAUGCUUAGAUAUGACAUAGAACACCAAUUGCGAAGGCAGCUUACUACAUAUAAAUUGACGCUGAGGCACGAAAGCGUGGGGAUCAAACA